UACAGAGGGUGCGAGCGUUGUUCGGAAUUACUGGGCGUAAAGCGCGCGCAGGCGGCUUCUUAAGUCCAUCGGUGAAAUGCCGGGGCUCAACCCCGAGUGUGCCGAGGAUACUGGGAGGCUGGAGACGAGUAGAGGCAAGCGGAAUUCCGGGGUGUAGCGGUGGAAUGCGUAGAGAUCCGGAAGAACACCGGAGGCGAAGGCGGCUUUCUGGGACGGUACUGGACGCUGAGACGCGAAAGCGUGGGGAGCGAACAGG
rnacentral:rRNA from 1 species